UACAGGGGGUGCAAGCGUUGUCCGGAAUGAUUGGGCGUAAAGCAUCUGUAGGCGGUUUUUCAAGUCAACUGUCAAAUCCCAGAGCUUAACUUUGGACAGGCAGUUGAGUACUUAAAGACUCGAGUAUGGUAGGGGUAGAGGGAAUUCCUAGUGGAGCGGUGAAAUGCACAGAGAUUAGGAAGAACACCAGUGGCGAAAGCGCUCUACUGGGCCAUGACUGACGCUGAGAGAUGAAAGUUGGGGGAGCGAAAAGG
rnacentral:rRNA from 2 species